ensembl:lncRNA
CCAGGAGGAAGCUAUAGGGACCAGUAAGCAAUUGCUCUCUCCCUCCCACUUCGCCACAUCCAGCUAGUGGCUGCUCUGUCAACCUCUUGCCCUGGCUGGAAAGACAUAGAUCAGAGUUUGCUUGCCAGACACAAAGCAUGUGUGAAAAAUAAACCUUUAUUGUUUAAAGGAAUUUUUUGAAAUUUUAGAGUUGUUACUACAGGAUAAUUUAAUUUAAUACAAGUGAUGCAAAAUCAAUAAGCAAAAAUCAAUUGCACUUCUCUAUACCAGUUAGAGAAUGAAAUAAACAAAUUAAAAAAUAUAACUAAAAGAUGGUAUCCAUAUUGUAGAGUACUUGGGAACACAUUUAAAAAAUGCAUUACUGCUAUGAAAAAAUCAAGUUUAUUGGUAACAUUUAAGAAACUGAAAAUAGAGAUAUUAUGUUUUGGGAUUCAAAGACUAACACAAGGAUGAAGUUUUCAUAUAGUCAUCUAUUAAUCCAAUGCAAUUCCUAUGAAAAUCACAACAGAGUUAUUCAUGAACUUGACAAGUUUAUUUCAAAGCAUAUUUAAAAAGAGCAAAUAAUUGACAGUAUUCAAGGCACUACAGACAUAGAAUAAGGUAAGGGAGUGACUUUGCUAACAGACACCAAGAUGUUCUUGCUGCUGCUGCUGCUAAGUCGCUUCAGUCGUGUCUGACUCUGUGCGACCCCAAAGACGACAGCCCAUCAGGCUCCACCUUCCCUGGGAUUCUCCAGGCAAGAACACUGGAGUGGGUUGCCAUUUCCUUCUCCAGGGCCACGUAAAUUAGGAGUGUGGAACCUUAGUGCAGAGAUCGGUGGGGGGUUGGGGGAAUCCAAUAGAAACAUCAAAAAUCAUAGGAAAUGAUUCACACAUAUGUAUAGACAUAUGUAUAUACUUAUUUUGUUCCUGUAUAUCACUAAAAGGGCUUCUUUGGUGGCUCAGAUAGUAAAGAAUCUGCCUGCAAUGCUUGCAGUGCAGGAGUCUCACGUUCAAUCCCUGGGUCAGGAAGAUCCCCUGGAGAAGGGAAUGGCCACCCAAUCCAGUAUUUUUGCCUGGAGAGCUCCAUGGAUGGAGCCUGGCGGAUUAUAGUCUAUGGGCUGGCAAAGAGUCAGACAUGACUGAGUGACUAACACAUCACUAAGAAAAGGGUGAACUAGUUAGUAAAUUUUGCAAGGAAAAUUAAUUCCCUGUAUUGGAAAAUACUGAUAAAAUGAGACUGGAUCCCUACUUCUCACUAUAUACAAAAGUUACUUCCAGAUAGAUUGAGACUUAAAUGUUAAGGAGCAAAACUUGAAAAUCAUUUGAAAUUAAAGAAGAUGCUUUAACCGCCUUAAGAUGUGAACAUAUUUCUUGAGCUGGACACAAGUGCAAAACAUAAAAGAUAAAUAAAUGGGAUUACAUUAAAAUCAAGGACUUCUGUUCAUCAAACAUCCCCACAAAUUGAAAACCUAAGCCACAACAUGAGAGACAUGUCACACAAAUAGGAGAAAAGAAUUAAUACACAGAAUGCUUAAGUGAUUUCUGUGAAUCCAGACACAAAUAUUCAUUUAUUUAUAGAAAAAAAGACAGAUGAUAUAAACAAGGAUUUCACAGAAUGGCAAACAUGAGGGACCCAUAAACUUCCAGAAAGCAUUGGACUGCAUCAGUAUUAGGGAAAAGCAAAUUAAAAUCACAAUGAGAUUUUAUUUUACACAUGCUACAUCACACAAAUUUUAAAUUAGGACAAUGCCAAUUGUUAUGGAGGACAUGUAUCAAAAGGAACUCUAAAUAUAUAAAAUUGAUGCAUAUUUUUAAAAGUUGAAACUAUGUAUAUCCUAGGAAACAGCAUAUUCACACAUAUACAUUCAUUAGAAAGCCUCAACAUUAUGCACCAGGGAGCUUACUCUGUGUAUUCACAGUAGAUAUUUCUGGUAAUGCCUGAAAACUGGAAACCAUUCAAUGUUAUAAAAAAAAUGUUUAUUAAAAACAUCAAUAAGUCAUUGACAUUUUCCUAUGAUGACAAAUUCUGCUAUUUGUUGAUCUUUUCCAUAUUUUUAUUUAUUCUGCCUUUUUGUUUCCCAUGCUUUGUGGCUUUCUGUGAUACAAGUUGACUGUUGACACAGUUAUCUAACUAACUGUCCAACCACAGGUUACAAUGGGCAAGCCCAAUGCAUUCAUUGAGCAUAAUACUCUAAUUCUGGCUUUUUUAUCUUUUCAACAGUUUGUGGUAGAUGAGAACUCCUAGCAUCUGUCAUUGUUGUUGUUUUUUUUUUAAUUACAUCCUUGCCCUUUUUCAUAUUUGAAAAUUCAGAUGGCUAGUUCCUAGAUAAUUAAGAUUAUUUAAAGUCAUAAUAGUCAUCACAAUAGGUGCCAUAUGUGAAUGUCUCAUAUAUAGCAGGGACUAUGCACAUGAUUUAUACACAAUUGAGCAUUUAUACAUACACACACACACACACAUAUAGCCAUCAUAUCUUUACUAUAACUCUAGGAGUUAAGUGUUCUUACUUCAUUUCACAAAUGUGGAAAUUGAAGUGUGGAAGGGCUCAUGCUGUUUGUUUUUGCCUCUUGAAAAAUUAACAUGUCCAACAGGAGAAGCGUUCAAACUAUGUUGGUUUUCUUUUUAUUUCAUGUUCUUUAUUUUUAUCAUAUUUUUCCUUCCAUGAUUGAAAACACUAGCUAUUACAUAAAGACUGAAUUAGUUUUUUCAAUAUAGAAACAAUUUGUGCUCUCAAAUUAUAAAGAGUAAAUGUCAAAUAGGAAUCUGUAAGUGCAAUGUUUUUGACCGGUGUGUCCUUAUAGUGUGUAAGUUCAGUUCAGUCGCUCAGUCGUGUCCCACUCUUUGUAACCCCAUGGACUGCAGCAUGCCUGUCCAUCACCAACUCCUGGAGUUUACCCAAACUCAUGUCCAUCGAGUCGGUGAUGCCAUCCAACCAUCUCAUCCUCUGUCAUCCCCUUCUCCUCCCGCCUUCCAAUCUUUCCCAGCAUCAGAGUCUUUUCCAAUGAGUCAGUUCUUCUCAUCAGGUGGCCAAGGUACUGCAGCUUCAGCCUCAGCAUCAGUCCUUCCGUUUAGUGUGUAAAGGUGGCACCAGUGCCGAGUGUGACAAGGAUACAGGGGCAUCACAUAGACUGUGGCCUGGGCUGCGGUCCUGUCAACCUGAAGGACUAAACCAAGAUUAUAAAUCAAAUAGGGUGGCAGGCCAGGCUAGGGUGUGGCUGGCAAAUUUAAAAUUCAGAAAAUGUACACGUAAGGAAGGUAUGUGGUAGAGAGGCCAAGAGAUCAAGAGAGAUGUUGCAAGUAAAUGACUGAGUUGGACCAUAAUUCCAAAAGGUACAUGCAUCCCAAUGCUUAUGGCAGCCCUAUUUACAACAGCCAGGACAUAGAAGCAACCCAAACAAUGGAAUAUCACUCCGCCAGAAAAAGGAACAAAAUUGUGAAACUUGCAAAGAUGUGGAUGGACCUAGAAACUGUCACACAAAGUCACGAAAAGAAAAACAAAUAUUUUAUAUUAAUACACAUAUAUGAAAUCUAGCAAAUGGCACAGAAGGUCUCAUUUGCAAAGCAGAAAUAGAGACACAGACAUACAGAACAAGCGCAUGGACACCAAGGGGAGAAAGGUGGGAUGAAAUGGGAAAUUGGGAUUGACAUAUGCUAAUAUAUACGAUUGAUACUAUGUAUAAAAUAAAUAACUAAUGAGAACCUACUGAAUAGCACAGGGAACUCUACUCAAUACUCUGUGGUGACCCAAAUGGGAUGGAAAUCCACAAAAGAGGAGACAUGUUAUACGUAUAGCUGAUUCACUUUGUUGUACAGUAGUAAUUAACACAACAUUGUAAAGCAACUAUACUCCAAUAAAAAAAUGUUUAAAAAGUAAAUGACUGAGCUGGUAAGUUGGUACAAUAAGAUGGAUAGAGAGGACCAUGGC